GUUAUUUUUAAGUAUCUUGUAAUCUGUACAAAGUAAUUAUCCAUAAACGAAUAUAGGUUGGCUUGAUUUAAAAAUUCUGAGGAAAUACUAGCCGUCUUUAAUAAUUUCUAUGAAGUGUAUUAGAUAAAAGAUGUGACAACAAAAGUUAUUCUAAUUUUGUAGGAAUUUUAACUUGAAAAUUUUUGGAUUGUUACAGAGGAAAGUGAACAAGUAAAAAUCAUUCUGACAAAUGACAAUUUGAAGCUGAAUGCUGUUGUUAGCUUGGUAUUCGCUGCACUGACUCUGUGCCUCCUCUGCAGUAGUUACAGUGAGGUACAGAAACUUGCAUCUACUUUAUAAUGAACACAGACAUAUAUACCAAAGUGAGUUCCUGCCAACAGCUGAAUUACAUGUCACUGUUCACCUGAACACUUGUUAACUAAAGCUCUCUCAGAAAAAGAAACACAACAAAAUACUACCUUUUUUAAAAAGAUGGCAAAAUUAAGUUUAGAAAGGUUUAGUAAUGCUUUCUUCUAAAACAAGGCAUUUCAGAAUUCCAUUAUCAGAAAACUGAAGUGUUGGUAGAACUUAUACAAAGAUUAUAUACAAAGAAUUAUACAAAGAUUAACAUUUGUAUUUUGUUCAAAGAACAAGAUAAGAUAGCAGGACUUAUUCUCUGAUAUCUACAACUUAUAAGUAAAAUCUUUAUUUAAAAUUUUGUGUUACAUUAUAUAUUACGUAUAAUUUGUAUUUUGUAGCUGCAUGGCUCAGGAGUGGUAUCCAUUUAGUUAUGUUGCUGAAAGUAUAAUUUUUGAAUGCAUCAAGAAUUAAGCUUCUAGAAAGUUCUGCAUACCUAAUUGCUUCUGGGGUCCAUAGUAUGACAAGUGUAACAAUUUUGAAGUGGUUUACACUUGAAUUGCAGACGUCACAGAAAAAGACUGCUUUCAGUCCCUGUACAACACUUAAUGAAGCUAUAAGAUGAAUGAGCCACUCAGCCUCCAUCCACUUGUGGGGCAGUUUAAAUAAAAAAGUCUGGCACUGCUUUCUACUCCUAUUUUACACUGAUAGAAAAAAGACUAGCAGAUGAGGAUCUACUUCUGAGUGACUUGUGAGUUAUCACUUAAUUUGUCUCCUUACUAUUAUAGUAAUCAUGCCACUUGUUAGGAGGAGAACACCUAUUUGACUGUUCAGAUUACACAUGAACUUAAACUGAGUUUAAUGAGUUAUUUAUGGAAAUCUCCAAGAAAUAGGUUUGGACUCACAAUGCAUUUAUAGACAAAAAGACCUGCUCUUUUUCUGUUGCUUGCUUGAUCAUUGGGACUUUAAAAAAUGAUGCAUGUCUUUUUUAAUUAAUUGGGUGAUGUUUUUCUAAAAUUAAAAUUUUCUUCUUCCUAUAGCCCUGCCAUAGGACAGGCUGAGGCUGAGUCUCAGUGUUGCCCUGUUCAGUCUGAGAAUGAAGCUGGCUGGAGGUAGCCCAGUGGCACAGUGCAUGUUACGCAUGCAUGAACCCCCUGGAUUCAAUCCCCAGCACCAAAAACAAAGAAAAAGAAGAAUGAAGACUUUCGUUUACCCCAAUACAUUAUACAUUAAGUGACAUUGAUUUUGUGGGAAAGAAACUAUUGUGUGGUAGAUUUAGAGUUAAGAACGUUAAAUGUUAUGAAAAUAAGAAUAUUUCUUUGAGGCUUUACCCUUUUAUUUUGGUAAAGAUCAUUACUGAUGGACUUUUUUUUUUUAAAGAUAGUCUGCUAAUCCUAUGUGAAAAUAUCAUUUUCACUAUCUUUUCAAGGGUUGUUUACUUGCCCAAGUUGACCAAGAAAAGAAUUAUUAUAGUUCUUACAAUUUGAAUCAGAAACAGGGCAUCUCUUUAGAGUUAAUUCCUUCCCCCUUACCAGCUAGCUGGUUAAUAUACUUGGAGGAGAAGUAACAACUCAUAGCCAUUUUUUAAAAUUAACAAUAAAAUUUCAUGAUAAUUUAAAGUUAAAAUUGGCUGUAAGGUUUGUCUAAUUGAAAUUAGAACGUAAUUGCGUUUCAAUACAUAUGCCUCUUGCCUUUUUCUGCAACCAAGAUUUUCAGUACACUUCCCACAUUAAAUACAUUAUUGAUUAAAAUCAAACCAUGUCCAAGACAUACUUCAGUGUUGACAGUUCAUUUUCAAGAUCACUCAAUUUCAGUAGCCAAUGUAAAUAAUCUUUAUUAACCUUAGACAACCUUUUAAAAUGUACUGCUAUCAGGCUCUGAGGAAAUUAAAUGCACAUUGACUUUUUAAGUAUGGGUUGAACUCCUCAGUUUAAUACAAUUUGUGUUUUUGUUAACUAGCAGCAGAAUUUCAGCAUUUGCUACUUACUGGUAGAGAAGAAAAACCCCACAGCCCUGCCAGUACAGGUUAGUUUAAUCUGUAAGUACCUGAUGUUCCUUUUUUUUCCCCUCCCACCCCACAAACAUAACCAUUUAAGGCACAUAAGGAAGGAAGCUGCUGUGCAGUUACUUACUGUGAGUAUAGUAACAUUGGGUGCUCUCAGACACUCAGUUCUUGGGCCAGAUGGAUUUCUAGGUUUGGGAACCUCAGCUGUAAUAAAGGUGUGAUGCAGCUCCUUGAUUAUUGGUUGUUCUUGACCUAUGUAGAUACCUCCUAUAUAAUAGAGGAAAGAAAUACUUGGAUUGGCUCAGUCCAUGGUGGUAAUAGUUUGUAUGUCUCUGUAAGCUAUAAAUUACAUCACUGGCAUGGAAGCUCACCGCACAUUGAGAACCCUGCACAGUGGUGCACAUCUUUAAUCCCAGAACUCUGCAGGCAGAGGUAGACAUAGUGUAAAUUUAAGGCCAGGCUAGGCUGUGUAAUGAUUCCCUGUCUUUAACAAAAGAAAGGUAAUUCUUGGAAGACGAGGAAGUCAUGCACAUCUUGCUUGAUAAAGCCAAUAAAAAUAAGUCAGAUACUGAUUAGCCAGCCUUCGAUUGGAUCAUUAUUAUUUUAUUUGGGAAUAAUAAGAUUUGUUUAAAUUUUUAAUGAUCUACAUCUACUGACCAGUAGUAAAAUGUAUUCUGUGAGUUUCCCCCCACAUUGCUUUUUAAUUGUAAAAUUGCCUGAGGGCUUAAGUUUUAUUGCCUUUCACAGUUUAUAAGAAUGGCGUAGAUACAGUGGAAAUGGUUUUCCUUAAAACCAUCUCUUUAAGAGCUGCCUUUCUGGUGAGUACUGCUUUAUAAUUUUUGUAUCACACUUUUUUUUAAGCUAGCUGGGAGGUGACAGUGAUUGAAAAGUGCAGUCCGAAUUGUCAAAGCUUGGACCAGAACCUUAAGGUGAUGGUUACUACCUGAUUCUCUAUGUUCCCUGUUUAGAUUCUCUUUUUUCCCCCUCAUUUCCCUAAAGGAUUGUGUGCAUAAAAACAUUGAACGCAGAUCAUUUGCUUUGGUGAGGGGAAAAAUUGUUUUGUUUUGGUUUUUUUUUUUUUUUUUUUUUUUUAAUGUUUAAGAAAAUGUAGGGACAGGAGGCAUGGCUCACUAGUUAAGACCAUGUCAUACCCCAGGUGGUGGCAUCCGCUCUGCAGGCAGAGACCAGUCAUCGCUGAGUUUCAGGACAACCAGGGCUGUAUAGAGGAGUCUCCCCAAAGUGAAGGAAUGUGUCCUGCGUUUGUUGGAAUCAGUUGAGGUUCCCAGUGUGUGUCCUGGCUCACAACCACCGCUCCUUCAGGAUCUGACACCUUGAACUUUUGUGCUCAUAUACUUAAAACACAUGCAUACAAUUAAGAAAUACAUAUGUUUUAAAGAUCAAAGAUUACCUUUUUUGCCCCAGUGCUCAUUUCUCACUGCUAGGUUAAGGAAAUAAUAGAUUUAGUACUCUCUUCUCGAGUACUUGAACUGUAUAAAUCAUUCCAACCUUGCAUUACAAAUGCAGAUUUUUAGCAUUUGUUUACCUGGGAAGAUUAACUUACAAAAAUAUUUUACUGUCUUGUUUAGUGACGAGUUUGUAACAUAAGGAUUUUUCCCUGUAGUUUUUAAGCUAGAUUUUUAGAUAAUGCAGGCAUAUUUGUAUAUACAUUGUAUUUCUUCUAUGAUUUUUGUGAAUAAAUCUACCUUUUUCCUCCUUAGUAUAGACAAUAUUUGUUUUCUAAAAUCUGAAAUGUGUAAUCUGAGUGUGUGUGGUAAUGUAUUCUAGGUGAGCUCUCAACAAAGUUUUGAGCCUAAAUUUGUGUCUUUAGAUUAUAGUGAAAUAAAUUUCUAAGGAACUCUGUCCUUUCCUAGCAUGGAUAAACAGACAGUGACAGUUGGUAAGUAUGUAACUUUAAAUGCAUGUAGUAGUGGUAAAGUUGAGCUACCAAACUAUUCCAAGACAGUUAGAAGUGAGUCCUUCUAGGACUUUAUAUGUAUAUCUGACAUUUUCUCCAAAUCUAUGUACUCAUGAUUAAACUGAAAUGCACCUUACUUGUCUGAUUUGUUUUUUGUUGUUCAUUUUGUUUUUAGAAGAAUUUUGUAUGGUAGUUUAAAAAUCUAAUUUUAUAUUUAAAACUUUCCUUGGUGUAUCAGUACGUGGCUCUUCUGACAACCCAAUAUUGAUCCGAAGUUUACUUCAAACACUUUGGUUUCCAUUUAUAACUAAGCAAAAUAUAGUGGCAAAAGAGAGGACUACUCUAAUUUUAGUCUAUAAUAGGAAAUCAGUGCAGAAUUACGCUUUAUUUUUAUUUAUGUGUCUGUGGUGCACCCACAUGCAGUUUUCUCCUGAGGCCAGAAGAUUGUCUGAUUGUUAGAGUGGAGUAGAGCUUCAGACACUGGUAACCCACCCCUGAGCAGUACCCAUUCAUCCUUGGCCAGUUCGGGUCAGUGUUGGAAUUUGGUGGUGGGAAGAAGGCUUUCUUAUUUUUUAUGAUUGCGGCCCCCCAAUUGUGAGAAUUAUUUCAGGGGGUAGAUCGGAGGACAACUUCUUUACAGUUUGUGUUCGUAUGUGGUUUCUAGGGAGACAUCUCAACCACCCUCUGGUGUUCUGUUGGUAACAGAAGUAUGACAGGUAAAAUGAAAAGCAUUUUAAUUUUAUUUCUGAGACAUAAGUCAUUUAUUUACAGCAUUGUUUUCUGAAAAGUUAAAGAAGUGGGUAUGCAUGUCUUUAAUUUAGUCUCCAGGUUUACUCCUAACAAGUGUCAGUUGGAUUUGGAGGAAAUGAAGAGCCAAAUCCUGUGGGGAUGUGAUUGUAUGGAGGGUCUGAGUAUAGCAGCAGGAGGAAGAAUAAACUUGCAGCCUGUGUGCUAUUAAAUGGUACAGGAGCAGAGAUCGUGACGAAUGUUACUUUAUAACUAUGUCUGCUAAAGAUAAUUAUAUGCUAGCCUUUAAUUCAUUAACAUUGGAACCUUGUGAUACAUGAAUUUUGGUCGAGUUUAUUUAAAAAUAAAAAUUUCCCACACAAAUAAUAGUGUAUGUGAUACUUUGAUGUGUCUGUCUCCUGGCUCAGGAACAUUAAAGUGUGUUCUUCCCCAAUUCAAAUACUUUGCUGGCCUGGAACUCCCAGAAAUCCUUCUGCCUUUUGUCUCUCCAAUGGUGCGAUUAAAGGUGUGCACCACUGAACUGGGCAUAAAUUUGGUUCUUUUCAUCCUCUCUAGUUCCUG
ensembl:lncRNA